rnacentral:rRNA from 1 species
CACGUAGGGCGCAAGCGUUGUCCGGAAUUAUUGGGCGUAAAGAGCUCGUAGGCGGACUGUCACGUCUGCUGUGAAAAGCUAGGGCUUAACCCCGGCCGUGCAGUGGGUACGGGCAGAUUAGAGUGCGGGUAGGGGAGAACUGGAAUUCCGUGGUGUAGCGGUGAAAUGCGCAGAUAUCGAGGAGGAACACCGGUGGCGAAGGCGGGUCUCUGGGCCGUAACUGCGCUGGAGGAGCGAAAGCGUGGGGAGCGAA